rnacentral:rRNA from 1 species
CGCGUGUACUGGUCCGGCCGGGCCUUUCCCUCUGUGGAACCCCAUGCCCUUCACUGGGUGUGGCGGGGAAACAGGACUUUUACUGUGAAAAAAUUAGAGUGCUCCAGGCAGGCCUAUGCUCGAAUACAUUAGCAUGGAAUAAUAGAAUAGGACGUGUGGUUCUAUUUUGUUGGUUUCUAGGACCGCCGUAAUGAUUAAUAGGGACAGUCGGGGGCAUCAGUAUUCAAUUGUCAGAGGUGAAAUUCUUGGAUUUAUUGAAGACUAACUACUGCGAAAGCAUUUGCCAAGGAUGUUUUCAUUAAUCAGGAACGAAAGUUAGGGGAUCGAAGACGAUCAGAUACCGUCGUAGUCUUAACCAUAAACUAUGCCGACUAGGGAUCGGACGGUGUUAUAUUUUGACCCGUUCGGCACCUUACGAGAAAUCAAAGUGCUUGGGCUCCAGGGGGAGUAUGGUCGCAAGGCUGAAACUUAAAGAAAUUGACGGAAGGGCACCACCAGGGGUGGAGCCUGCGGCUUAAUUUGACUCAACACGGGGAAACUCACCAGGUCCAGACACAAUGAGGAUUGACAGAUUGAGAGCUCUUUCUUGAUUUUGUGGGUGGUGGUGCAUGGCCGUUCUUAGUUGGUGGAGUGAUUUGUCUGCUUAAUUGCGAUAACGAACGAGACCUUAACCUGCUAAAUAGCCCGUAUUGCUUUGGCAGUACGCUGGCUUCUAGAGGGACUAUCGG